rnacentral:rRNA from 1 species
CCUACGGGUCGCACCAGGGGGAAUAUUGGACAAUGGGCGAAAACCUGAUCCAGCAAUGCCGCGUGUGUGAAGAAGGUCUUCGGAUUGUAAAGCACUUUCGACGGGGACGAUGAUGACGGUACCCGUAGAAGAAGCCCCAGCUAACUUCGUGCCAGCAGCCGCGGUAAUGCGAAGGGGGCUAGCGUUGCUCGGAAUGACUGGGCGUAAAGGGCGCGUAGGCGGUUUAUGCAGUCAGAUGUGAAAUCCCCGGGCUUAACCUGGGAACUGCAUUUGAGACGCAUAGACUAGAGGUCGAGAGAGGGUGGUGGAAUUCCCGGUGUAGAGGUGAAAUUCGUAGAUAUUGGGAGGAACACCGGUGGCGAAGGCGGCAACCUGGCUCGAUACUGACGCUGAGGCGCGAAAGCGUGGGGAGCAAACAGGAUUAGAUACCCUCGUAGUC